AAAUUAACUACCGAUUAUUUAACCAUUGCCACUGUGAACAUUAACUAUGUGAAUUCCACAUUGUUAUGAACUGAUACCAAUUAGUUAAUUGACAAUCUCUUAAGAAGAUUAAACAGCUUAAAGCACUAGAAGCAAAGACAUUUCUCUUAUCCCAGGCUAUACUGAUAAAGAAAUGUUAAAUGUGCUGCAUUUAACAGAUGGUUAAUCCACUCACUCUGCUGAUAUUAACUAUCUUGUUGUUAUUAUCUUGGCAGUCUAUUUAGCAAAUAUUUAUUAGCAAUUGUUUCCCGUUAGCUGUCUUUCUCUGUGGAGAAAUAUAUCACCGAUAAUCGACUUCACCUCAGUGAACCAUAUGGAUCUAACAUGACUGUUAUCUGAGCGGCAGCAUAGAGCAUUAGAAGCAAAGAUAUUUCUCUUAUCCCAGGCCAUACUGAUAAAGGACGCUCAUAAAGUAUUUUACAGUAUAUAAACGCUGCCACUAUGUCGGCAUUUAUCAAUAUUUUCUAAUAGAUAAGAAACCGUCUAUUCACAGCUAUAUUAUGUCUAUCUAUCAACAGCCAUUAGUGCUCUUAUCAAUAAGCUUGUAGACAUUUCAUGUGUCUUAUUUGUCUACCACAUCGCUACAUUUAUCUCUAGCUGUUAACCUACGGGUUUGCUCUGCAAUUCUAUAUUGCGCUCUCCCCCUGUCACAGACAUUAGUGGCAUUUACUUUGCCCCUAGUACUUUAUCAAGAGUUAUUCCUACAGUGCUACAAUUAUACCUUUAUCACACAUAUUGUUAUCGUAGCCUGUUCUAUCACUAAUUAGAGCCAUAUUAUCAGACAGUCUCACCUUUCUCCUUAUGUUUUUAGCUUACUUUCUAUAUUAUUUAUUCCAUUUUUAACUUAUCCAUUAAAGGUUAUAUUUUAUGUUCACAAUUAUCUCAAAUACUUCACGUAG